AGUAGCCCUCCUUGCCACAGUGAUAAUAAGUACCUUUGGUAGAGACCUUCUUCACCUUCUCCUAGGAGAUGCCAGCCUUAGGGUUCAUCUUUUUUUUAGAACCCUUCUUUGCCUUCUUCUUGCUGAUCUUAUCAAUAUGAAGGACUUGAGCCUUUUCACCCUUAAAAUGGCUCUCUGCUGUUUUCAGCAUGUUCAGCACUUCUGGCAAGCUGAUGUUCAGUUUGUUCAUAUGAUAAUUAAUAACAAACUACAAAAAAAAUUAGGGAGAGAC
rnacentral:lncRNA from 1 species